UCUGGUUGAUCCUGCCAGUAGUCAUAUGCUUGUCUCAAAGAUUAAGCCAUGCAUGUCUAAGUACAAACCUUAAUACGGUGAAACCGCGAAUGGCUCAUUAAAUCAGCUAUGGUUCCUUAGAUCGUCUCAUCCUACUCGGAUAACUGUGGAAAAUCUAGAGCUAAUACGUGCUUACAAGCCCUGACCUCACGGGAGGGGCGCAUUUAUUAGAUCAAAACCAAUCGGGGCUUGCCCCGUCUGCUUGGUGACUCUGGAUAACUUUUGUGCUGAUCGCAUGGCCUCUGCGCUGGCGACGUAUCUUUCAAGUGUCUGCCCUAUCAACUUACGAUGGUAGGUGAUAUGCCUACCAUGGUUAUAACGGGUAACGGGGAAUCAGGGUUCGAUUCCGGAGAGGGAGCCUGAGAAACGGCUACCACAUCUAAGGAAGGCAGCAGGCGCGCAAAUUACCCACUCACCCGGCGACGGGAGGUAGUGACGAAAAAUAACGAUACGGGACUCUUUUGAGGCCCCGUAAUUGGAAUGAGUACACUUUAAAUCCGUUAACAAGUAUCUAUUGGAGGGCAAGUCUGGUGCCAGCAGCCGCGGUAAUUCCAGCUCCAAUAGCGUAUAUUAAUGUUGCUGCAGUUAAAAAGCUCGUAGUUGGAUCUGAGGACUCGAAUUGGUGGUGCACCAUACGGUGUUACUGCCGAUUCGGCCUACCUAGUCGGUGCUCGCUCUUGGUGUUCUUAAUUGAAUGCCCUGAGUGCCCGGCAAGUUUACUUUGAAAAAAUUAGAGUGCUCAAAGCAGGCCAUUAGCCGGAAUACUUCAGCAUGGAAUAAUGGAAUAGGACUUCGGUUCUAUUUUGUUGGUUUUCGGAACCCGAGGUAAUGAUUAAGAGAGACAGACGGGGGCAUUCGUACUGCGGUGUUAGAGGUGAAAUUCUUGGAUCGCCGCAAGACGAACAACUGCGAAAGCAUUUGCCAAGAAUGUUUUCAUUAAUCAAGAACGAAAGUCAGAGGUUCGAAGACGAUCAGAUACCGUCCUAGUUCUGACCAUAAACGAUGCCAACUGGCGAUCCGAGAUCGUUUGCUUAUUGACCUCUCGGGCAGCCUCCGGGAAACCAAAGUUUUUAGGUUCCGGGGGAAGUAUGGUUGCAAAGCUGGAAACUGUUCAAUUGCAACUCUGCCUGUGACACCAAGUGGUCGGGUUACUUGGUCUGUUCUGGCCCGGAGUCGGUAGGGUUUCCGGCCUUGUGCUCUUUCCUUACUGUUCUCUGUAACGCCGAAGGCGGGGCUUCCACGGUGGGGAAGCGGUUGUACAAAUCCGGCAAAUCCAGCCAAAUGGGUUCCGGACUCUGUCCAACCUGCAACUGGUAACAGCCUCGGCUGGCUAACAUUUGAGCUGGGACUCGCUUGGGAGGAGCGAGGAUAAUAAAACCUCUAUGUGACUGAGGUGAGGAAUCUGGUUCUCGUAAAAUGGCUGGAGAUCCCGAGCCUGUAAGUCAUAAAUUAGUUCCCCACGAGGGGAGGUGUCGAAUUGAAGCCAGUGCGUGCCCUUACUAGUUUAAGGGAUUGUAUACUUCCUUUGGUGUACCCACCUGGAAGUGCCCAAGGGGUCCUAUCCCUGCACU
rnacentral:rRNA from 1 species